UAAAUGAGUGUAAUUAGUGAUGUUUUAAUGACUUUUUAAUUACCCCCUUAAUCACCAGCGCUUUCACUUUAAUGACAUGUUAAUGACCUCUUAAUCACCAGCGCUUUUUAAUUACCCGUUGUACUUUUGAGUGAUUUUAAAGAUAUUUUAAUUGGAUUUUAGUGUAGUCUAAUUACCAGCGCUGUAAAUUAGUUUAGUGUGUGUGAGUAUAUAGCAGAAAAACAAAUUUGAAAAUUGUUAAUUUAGUUGUGUGUUACCACUUUGACGAAGCUUUCCACUAGGUCUUGUGUUUGUGAGUGUUCGUGUUUUUGUCCUGUGAAGAAGUUGUUCAUAUUUUUGGAGGGGGAAAAAAAUCUGUCCGUAUUACCCAGGUUGAUAAAUUAAAAAUGAAUCAAAGAAGAAUGCCCCGUCAAGUUCGAAAGUGUGGGAAGUCGAAUAUUGAAGUGGAGUUUAUGUCGCAAGAAACUGAAUAUCCAAACGCGUUUAAAAAUCCGAAGUUGGAUGACGAGUAUAAAUGUGAAAUUCCCUGUUCGCAAGUAAUGGUUUUGUCUCAAGAUUCACCUUCUUCUUCUUCUGAGCUUUUGAUAGAGUUACCUGAAGAUGUGGAAUUGGAGAAGGCUAUGAGCAAGUUUGCGGAUGAAAUGGACGAGAAUAUGAAGGCAGAAGAAUUGAGUAAAAUAAAAAAAUGAAAAAUAUCGACUUUUGGAUGAGACUGUGAUACCGAUAACAAAAUCAGGAAGCAAAUUUUUAAGUGUUGGUGUAAAACCAUUUGAAGAUUAUCUUCCAGUUAUUAAAAUUAGCAAUCCUCAACUGACGGCUGCUACAUCGUUUAUAAAAAGUGAAUUUGAGGAAUUUGUAAAGAAGAUGCGUGAUUAUGCAUACGUUAUAACCGAUGUCGAUAAAGAAAUUCCUAUGUGUGAACUUAAAAAUUACAGAGUGGUAUUGUGCAAGAACAAAAUCCUUGGCUUUAUUCCAAAAUUUGAAGACGUGUAUAAGCCAAGUUAUUUAAGUGUUGAAACAGUGCAAAAUGUGAUAAGCGUUAGUGAUUUUUUUUUCAAUUUACUUGAUCAGCGCAUCAUCAAGCAAUCAUAUUAUAAUAAUUACGAGCACUUCAUUGACACUGUCGCAUUAGAUAUAUUGCAAAAUGGUGGAGGUGAAGAGAAAGAAUUUGAAAAUACUGUCAAAAGACUUAUUGUUGAACGUUUCGAAUCAAGUUCUGUUUUGUACGAAAUUUUCUUUAAGUUACCUCAUUCUAUAAAAUAUCAUGUACGAAAGAGGCUAGCAUACUAUAGAGAGUUUAAUGAUUAUAAUGCUCCAUCUUUAUUAGUGUAAAUGGUUUUAAUUUAAAUAAAUGAAUAAAUAAAUAAAACUUG